GGCAGCGUAGCCCAACGGCAGAGGUAUCCGUUUCAAACGCGGAAAAGUGUGAGUUCGAAUCUCACCGCUGCUACCA
rnacentral:tRNA from 1 species